CGUAGGUGGCGAGCGUUGUCCGGAAUUACUGGGUGUAAAGGGCGUGUAGGCGGGAAUGCAAGUCAGAUGUGAAAUGCCGAGGCUUAACCUCGGAGCUGCAUCUGAAACUGUGUUUCUUGAGUGUCGGAGAGGAAAGUGGAAUUCCCAGUGUAGCGGUGAAAUGCGUAGAUAUUGGGAGGAACACCAGUGGCGAAGGCGACUUUCUGGACGAUAACUGACGCUGAGGCGCGAAAGCGUGGGGAGCAAACAGGAUUAGAUACCCUGGUAGUCCACGCCGCAAACGAUGGAUACUAGGUGUAGGAGGUAUCGACCCCUUCUGUGCCGCAGUUAACACAAUAAGUAUCCCACCUGGGGAGUACGGCCGCAAGGUUG
rnacentral:rRNA from 1 species